ACAUGUGAUAUGAAGUUGUAAAGUUGAGAAUAGCUUGAAGUUGUAUUCGACCUGGGGCCCUUCCAAGUUCCAAAGAAAAGCCUCGACAUUCCAUCAGAAUUUUAGGUGAAAGAACUUCGGAUUAUAUUAAGUCAAGAUACCAAUUUUUCCAUUACAUUGAAGGAUCCUGAAUUUACAUUAGAGAUGUGAGCCAAAACAGAUGGCAAACGCGGGGGGUGAGAGCUAGACAAGAGCACCACCUUUAAGAUAUUCAGUGAAGGCGAGUGCAACCAGACCCAACAUGGCAAACCUCCCAUUCCACAUCUCCGCAUCAGAAGUCAUCAACCCCUUCGAUUUGGACUCCACGCUCACACCUUUGAACAAGGGAAUCAGAGAAGCCAGUGAGAGUACAACAGCGGUUCCCAGGAACCAUGGAAUCCCACCGUUGGAUAUCUGAGCAAACACAUCCUCACCCUUCCAUAUUUCCGCACCCAUUGCCGCAACAAAGCCUACCAUGGCAAGCCUGCCGUUGAUCCUCUCCGGUGCCGGCCCACUAAAUGCGAACACAUCCCCAAAUUUAGUGCUCACCUGCCACAAAAUUCAAAAACAUAUAUAUAUUCUCAUGUUAUAAACCCCACCGGAAAAGUGACCAUGGAAAGAAGUUACCCGCGGACUUUACAUACCUUAGGCGCAGGAGGAGGAGGAGGAGGAGGGAUCGGUUGACGUGACUGUGAGAGUGAGGGUGGCUGCUGGGGGUUGGUGGUGACAGGAGGUGGCCGUUCGAUUUGGCCAUCCUGCACAAUGGUUACGAGAUCAGUUGUCAAAAUCCCAUAAAUCGGCUGACAUUAUCUGCUAUGAUCUGAGUGGAGGUUGAGAUCUUACCUCCUUGGUGCACCGCACCUGCACAGCACUCCUUUGAAGACGUAGCACCGACCUGGGAGGGACGACCUGGAGAUCUCUGGUUCUGUUGGCUACGCGUGUCAUAGCUGUUGCAAGGGUGGAUUGCAUGGUGGUUGCCAUGGCCAUCAGCGUCGACUCCGAAAUUCUUAGCGAGUCGUGCAAGGGCUUCCAAUGGCGCUAUGAUGCUAUGGCGAUGCUACUGUGUACUUCUGAGUGUGGGUAUGAAGAUUGGAGCCUGGCAGCAUUAUUUAUAACGUGGGAGGGUAAAGGCUAAAGCGAGGUGUGGACAUUUUGAGUUCCACGUCAUUUUCUCAGAGUUGUCCAGAGAUUGGAUCACGUGGGCUCAUAUUUGUCCACACAUGUAUAGGUUGACGACGUGGUCUCUGCUCCGCUCCACACAAUAUCACCAUAUGUUAGGUUGACGACGUGGGCUCCGCUCCCAGCACCCACAAUAUCAUCGCAUGUGGCUGUCGAGUCUGCCUUGUUCUAGGUUUUUCCAGCCCCGAAAUUAGGCAGAUGUCCAUUUGUUAUGUCAUUAAAUUCAUCUUCGUCAACCAUAACCAUUCACACCUUUGCACAAAUUAAAUUCAGAAUUAAUUUGAAAACUUGUACACUGCUUUAAAAUAUUAUUUAUUUUUAUCAUAGAUGUUUUGUUUUUCUUUAAAAAAUCUAUGUAGUUUAUAUUUAUAAUCGAUGUUAUACAAAUUUCAUAUCAUAAUAUCAAUAUUCUAAAUUUUCUUUUAUUUUCAAACGUUACAUAACCAUAUUAAUCCCAUAUUGUUACGUGACAUGGCAUUAAAACUAAAAGAAAUUUUAUAUCAUGCCGUUUUUCAAAUCAAAAUUUUGCUGGGAAGCUCACAACAGAUGUGGAAUGGCUGCCCUGAUAGUUUCAACUCCUCAUCAAUCAAAAACUUGAGGCCCUCGAUCACGAAAAAUUAAUCCCACAAAUUACAGAUUAUCAGAAACUACUACUGCAGUAUCUGCGUUAAUCAAUAGGCGGACUUUUAGAGAACAAGACCCACAAGGAAGAAUAAACGAUGCGGGCAAAGAAUCUGGUGUCUGUAAAGAGAUCUUGCUUCCGUCCCUAAACACAGCAUACCCCAUUUCCCCCAAUUCAGACGAAUCAACAGAGAAGUAAUCACCGCAGCGACACUGGUAAAAGAGCUCUAAUACUUUGCCAUCAUCUUCAAUUGUCAUAUCCUCUAAGCUGAGAUCUUCAGCUGUGGCUGUAUCCUGUCUUGAAGCUUGCAGCCCACUAUCAUAAACAGCUCGUGACCUUGGAUCACUGAGGGUUUCCCAAGCCUUCUGUAUUUUCAGGAAUCUAUCUCCUGACUCAGGAUCAGUAUUGGAUGUCUCUGUUGUCUUUUGCAAUUUAUCAGGAUGGGAAUUGAGGAUGGCAGAUCGGUAGCAUCCACGGAUCUCUUCAUAGCUUGCAUCUUCCUUGACAGAGAGAAUGUCAUAGUAAGUUUGCUCAAAGGAGUUCUUAUAAAGAAGCAUGGUUUGAUUCCACUUGCAUCAGACUGCUUUCCCUGCAAAUGCAAUGAAAACUGUCAUAUUAUCUACUUUGUAGUAAAUUCAAUGACCAAACCCACCUUCAGAAUGGUGACAAUGUCUACCCUCUGAUGCAGAAAGAUGUCUGACUAUAGUGUAAUCUUUAGACUGUUACACUUCUAAUUUAACUUUUACCUUCUUUUUGGGAAUACCAAACUUUGGAUCAGGCAGACGCACAUUUAAACUUUACCCGGUUUUAGCCCAGACCAACAUAUAGUUGAUUGGAAAAAGGUUAUUCCAUGCUGAAAUUUCUAAACACUAUGUUAACUAAUCAAACAGUUUUGAACUUUAACUGGAUCAGAUUAUGGUAAAAAUAAAUAAAUAAAAUAAAAAGAAUGAGCAACUAAGAAAUCCAAAAUAGAGGGGCUCUAAAAGUGAUUUAAUGAAGAACUCCUUCAAUCUUUGAUCUGAGAGUUCAUCAUUAUCGAAAGUUCUUCAGUUGUACUCCUUCCAAAUACACCAAAAUAAACAAACCGGAGCCAAGCGCUGAACCUUUCUUUUUUUAUCUAGCCCCUUAAAUUUUCAUUCAAGGAGGAUAUUUCUCACUGAAAUCAAAGACACCCAAAUUGUGCCAAAAACUGCUACCAGAAAAGUUCAUAGCAUUCUUGUCUUAUCACAAUGAAUCAAGAUGUGAUUAGCCAAUUCUUCAUCAUCUUUACAAAAGUUGCAUCUAUUGAUGAUGGGUCAUCUCCCCUUCAUUAACAUAUCUAUAGUUAAGAUCUUCCCCAAACAACUUCCCAUGCAAAAAAUUAAAAAACAAGCUAAGUGGAGCAUGGAAACCCCAAAUCUUUUUGGCUGGAAAUACUAAAUUAUUCUCAGCACUUGAGGAUUUGUAGUACAACUUGACACUAAAGUUUCCCCUCCUAUCAUCUUUCCAAAGUAAAUUGUUCUAUCCUACUCACACUUUCAAUAAGUAAAUAAGUCCCAAAAAUUGGGUCCCCUCCUCUAUCUCUCAAUAUUGGAAGGGUCUAAAUUAAACCUCCCAAUGGCCACCUCCGGCUCCUCCUUCCUCCCAUAAAUCUGCAACCGUAGCACUUUUGGAAGAGUCUAUUCUGAAAAGUGCAGGUGUCCUCCCUCUCAUAAAAUGUUUACAUCAACAAAUGGAAUAUGUGACCCAUACCAAAUAGCUGCUAGUUACCCGAAUAUAUAUAUAUUAUAAGUAAGAGGGUGAAUUAAUAAAUGCUUAAAGCAUACAAAAGUACACGGGUCGUAUACAAAGAGCACCAAACAAAAAGCAAGAAAGAGGGUACACAAAAAACUACUCCCUCCUACAUCCAAGACCCAACCAGUCUAUGAAAUCAACCAAAUGUGUAUAUCCUCCACCUAUAUAUACCCUAAUCCCAUGCAAAGAAAUUGUUAAGGAAAAUAUUUUUUAGCCUUUAAUUUGAUAAUUCCUCACAUUCAAAGAAUCUCCUAUUUUUUUUCCUUCUAGAUUGUCCAAAAAAUACAAGAAGCAGCUUUGCUAGUUACCCGAAUAUUGAACGCAAUCAUCACAUUAGACAAAAUGGCACAAAGAAUAUGAAAUCCAACAGUGAGCCAGUGCCUCAAAGUUUGCUGUGACAACUGGGUAGUCUUGAAUGGUUGAAAAAAUCAGUACUCCCCAUUCAACAACAAUGAUGUUUACAAUGCUUUUAGAAGAAAUGGAUAUUCUUUGGCAAAUAAGAGAGUGAAGUCGUUCCCUUUUGACAUAGUUUGGAAUUCUUGGGUACCAUCAAGAAUUAGCUUUUUUGUUUAGGAAACAACUUAGACAAAGAUUUUGACUCUAGAUCAACUCAAAAAAAGAGGUUGGAGGAUUCCUAAUAAAUAUUACUUGUUUAAGGAAGAAGAAGAAACGAAUGACCAUAUUCUCACUCAUUGUUCAAAAGCUUGCUUAUUAUGAUAGUUGAUUUUUGCUUACUCAGUUCUACAACUCACGUAUUUCUACAGCAACUUACUCAGUUCUUGUUAAUGGCACACCGACAAGAUUUUUCAACAGCUCAAGGGGGUUGAAAAAAAGGGACCCCCUUUCGCCCUAUCUUUUUGUGAUAGGUAUGGAAACCUUAAGCUGUUUGAUUAAGAAAGCAGUUAGUGGGGGCCAUUUGACAAGCUGCAGGGUUAAAGGGAGGGAUGGUGAGGGAGUUCAACUCACCCAUCUGUUGUAUGCUAAUGAUAUGCUGAUUUUUUGCGAAGCCUCUACGGAACAACUAACUCACCUAAACUAGGUGUUAAUGUGGUUUGAAGCCAUCUCUAGUUUAAGAAUUAAUUUGGACAAAAAUGAGAUCCUACCAGUGGGGAGGGUGGAGAAUUUGGAGGAGUUGGGCCUUGAGCUUGGGUGUAAGGUGGGGACACUCCCUCAUACUCAGGGCUUCCUUUGGGUGCCCCUCACAAAUCAGCGACAGUUUGGGAUGGUAUGGAAGAGAGGUUUUGGAAGAGAUUAGCUAUAUGAAAGAGGCAAUAUAUAUUUAAAGGAGGAAGACCCACUCUCAUUCGAAGCACUUAGUCCAAUAUGUUUAUUAACUAUAUGUCUAUUCUACGUACGCCUAGAUCGGUUAGAUUGAGACUUGAGCAAAUCCAAAGGGAUUUCCUUUGGGGUGAGGGGCUUUGGAGUGGAAGACUCAUCUUGUUAAGUGGACGGUUGUAUGCUUAGAUAAAAGUAAGAGUGGUUUGGGUGUUAGAUGCAUUUCUAAACUUAAUGGAGCCCUUUUGGGUAAAUGGAGUGGCGCUUCAUGGUAGAAAGGGAAGCUCUUUGGAAACAAGUUAUUAGUAUGAAGUAUGGAGUGGAAGAAUGGGAGGGGUAUACCCUUGAAGGAAGAAAGGGUUUUGGAGUGGGGUUGUGGAAGGANNNNNNNNNNNNNNNNNNNNNNNNNNNNNNNNNNNNNNNNNNNNNNNNNNNNNNNNNNNNNNNNNNNNNNNNNNNNNNNNNNNNNNNNNNNNNNNNNNNNUUGUUGAGCAACAACAUUGUGUUUUCCGUGGGUAAUGGUAGAAGAGUAAGAUUUUGGAAGGAUUCUUGGUGUGGUGAUGAGGCUUUAUGCUACACUUUCCCCUCUUUGUUUGCUUUGGCGGUUUCAAAAGAGGAGUGGGUGGCGGAGGUUUGGGACCCAUCGGUUGAGGGGGGGAUUUGGAGUCCUCAUUUUUCUAGGGCUUUCAAUGAUUGGGAGGUAGUCUUGGUGGAACAGUUGCUCAUGACAAUUCAAGGGAAGAGGGUUACCGCAGAAUUGGAGGAUAAGGUGGUUUGGAAAAAGACAAAAAAUGGGAUUUUCACUAUUAAGUCUCUUUAUAGUGCAGUAGAGCCAGGAAAUACAGUCCGGUUUCCAAGGAACAUCAUUUGGUGUCCUUAUGUUCCUCCCAAAAUGGGUUUUUUUGCUUGGGAAGCCUCGUGGGGGAAAGUUUUAACAUUGGAUCAGCUUAAGAGGAGGGGUAGGACCCUAGCUAAUAGACGUUUCUUUUAUCUAGCCGACAAGGAGUCUACUAAUCACAUCUUAAUCCACUGCACGAAGACUAGGGUUUUGUGGGAGUUAUUAUUUGCUCUCUUUGGGGUGACUUGGGUUCUCCCUUGCUCGGUAAGGGAGACUCUCCUUGGAUGGUAUGGGUCCUUUGUUGGUAAAAAGCACAGAAAAGCUUGGAAGCUAGCUCCUUUAUGCCUUUUUUGGGCAGUGUGAAAGAAAAGAAAUAGGAUAGCAUUCGACAAUGAAGAGUUUUUGGUUCAUAGGUUGAAGUAUUCUUUUGUGUGUAGUUUUUGGUCUUAGACAAAGUUGUAUAUAAAUGUUGGACCUUUACCUUUAAUCGACUUUUUUGAUUGGUUGGAUUCUAAGUGAGGGCGGAUGAGGUUUUUUGUAUCCCCUCCUUUUUUGUUUUUCUUUGCUUAUGGCACCUACUGUAUACUUCCUGUAUGCCUUGGAUUGUCCUCCAAGCUCCCUUUUUCUAAUUUAUAUAUUCUCUAUGUUUACCUAUCAAAAAAAAAAAAUGAUAGUUGAUUUUUGCAUUUUUUUUUGUGUCAAGUGGGUGAUGCCCUCUUUAGUUAGAGAGGUCCUUAUGAGCUGGCACAGGUCUUUUGUUGGUAAAAAGAGAAAAAAAAAGCUCGGAAGGUUACUCCGUUGCGUUUAUUUUGGACCUUAUGGAAAGAAAGAAAUAAGAGAGCUUUUGAUAAUUGAGAAAGCUCGGACCCAAUAAUUAAAAAUUAUUUCCUAUACCUUUUGGGAUUGGAUCAGAUUGUAUAUUGGGGAUGGUUCUUUGUUGUUGAUAGAUAUUGUGGAUUGGCUAGGCUCUCCAUAAGGCACGGUUGCUGAUUUUUGUGUCUUCGCGCCUCUUUUUUAGUCUUUGGUUUUCUUUGAAUACGUUGUGUAUACCUCUUUUUUAUAAACACACUCAUCAUUUACCUAUCAAAAAAAAAAAAAAAAAUCAGCAUGAAAUUAUUGCUCAAAACUCCAUCUUUAAACUUUUUCCUGAUCUAUUGAGCAUUCCCAAGUUUAUCAACUCUUAAAGCAUAUUUCAUUGAAUUCACCACCAGAAAAAAUUCAAACUUUGGGGUUUAUGCUGCCUCUCAAGCUUGAUUGUGGCAUUAAGUCUCAAAUUUAAAAAACCAUCAUCACAUAAGAAUCACACCUCGAAUUUAGGGUAGGCUUUAUACCAUAUCCUUUAGCCCAUUUGUAGCCAAAAAAACACCCUCAAUAACUUGAUUGGGCCUUAUCACACAACUACUUGAGAUUGACCAUCCAUGUCAGUGCUUCUCCUUCAAAUUGAUCACGAUUCAAAUAGUUUAUUUUGAUCAUAGGACAAUUUUCCUCCUGGAAAGACAGCUUCCAUUAUGUUUAAUCACCUAUUUUCCAUGUAGCACCAUCAGCUACAGCCCACCUCUCCUUACUGUUUGGUCUCUUUCUAAUAACUUUCCAUUCCAUGAUGUUGUCUAAUCUCCUUGGAACACCAUCAUCCUUUCCCCAAACUUUGUCACAGUGGUUUUUCUCCCCAAACAAUCCCUCUUUCCAGAAAAUUUUCACAGCCAUUUUCCUAGUAAAGCUUUACUGAGCACCAAUAACAUCCUGACACCUAAACCACCCUUGCUUGUUUGAGCUACAGUAGUUUUAUAAGUGUUUCUUGACUUUGCAAUGUUCUAUUCCAUGAAGCACAACUAGCCUUGCAAUCGUCUAAAAACGCUUCUUCCUAAUGAUGACCUUAAUUGCACAAUAACCUGAAACAUCCUUCAUACCCAAUGCCUAAGAAACAUCUUCUUCAGUAUCCCUCCCUUGGGAGGGAUUGAAAAAAUGUAUAUGGAUGUUCUCCUAGCAGAAAAUAAACCAAGUUUAAAUGGUCAUUUUUGAGCAUCUUCAAUCCCUAAGCAUUUUUUUUUUUCAUUUCCUUAGCUCUCUCCCGCACCAAACCUACCAAAAAUCAACUAAACCGUAAGUUUUAGGUAAAGUGCAAUUUUUUGUAUUCUCGAACCCUAGAUGGUGAAAAAUCUACCAAUUUCUUAUUCUUUUCUCAGCAUGCAAACAAUUAUAUCUAACGCAGAAUUCGAUUGAUUGAAUUGGAAAUAGAGAUUCAAACAGUACCUUGAACUCAGAGAUCGACCGAGUCGCAGCGUUUCAAGAAUGGGUGAUUGAAUGCUUUUUUGUAAAUAGAGGUUGAAUGCUCUUCUGUAAACAAUGAUCGGGCUACCUUGAACUCGGAGAUCGACCAAAACACAGCGUUUGUAGAGCAAUGAUUGAAUGCUUUUGUGUAGGCUGAGAGUCUGUGAUCAAGGUAUUUUGAACUCAGAGAUGGCCGAAACCAGCGUUUGGGUUGCUUUUGUGGAAACGGACGUGAGUUUCGUCGGGUAGUAAUGGGCUGAGGCGGGCACAACCCGGCCCAUUUCUUGAAUUAUUGAAUUAUUGAGGUGUAGCUGGGCUGAUUUCCAAUACAAAUCAUAAAUUUCUUUAUUCAGGUUUGGUUUGGAUGAAAUGCAAUUCACGAGUAGCCCACUAAAUGGUGAUUCAACGUAAAUUUUACAUCUUGGAACCAAACCAAUUUUGGAGUAGCUUUGUGAUGAUGGAACCAACCAGAAAAAAGCGUUAUGAUUGCAAAGAUCAAUGUGCCUAGCACAAUAAAGUCGUAGUUCACUGAUUAUUCUCACUGCAUCUAAAAAAAAUCAAAUAUUAUUUGCAUUCCUCGAAAAACCUCAUUUGUGUCACCAUUCAAUAUUUCUUAGCCCACUAUUGACCAAACCAAGGAUGAAAGUUUCCAUUUUUUUCGCCGAAAUUUCCGGUUUCGGUGGUCGGCGAUACGAAAGAGGGGGGCGAAAUAUCGAUGGGAGAAAUUUCGCCAAAUUUCGGUUAAAAUCGGCGAAAAAUUUGCCGAAAAAUGGAUGCAGACGAAAAAUCGGCGAAAUCUUCAAAAAAAUAGCCGGACACUGCAAUUUAUCGGCGAAUUUUCGGUUUGUAUAGCCGAUUUUUUUUCCGAUUUUUCUGAAAAUUUCCCGAUAUUUCCUACCAGUCCAGCCCGCGCACAGGUGACAAAAUCUGAUCAUGAUUUGCAGGCAAAGGUUGUGUUUUUUAGCCUGGCUCAAAAAUCGUGGAUUUAGGGUUCGUGAAAUUUAAAUCCAAUGGCACAAAAGCAAAGCGACCCCUAGAACAGAUCCAGAAAACACAGGAAGCAAAAAAAAAAAAGCAAUCUUUCUGGUUUUCCUGGGGGGUUUUGCAUGGAUUUUCUCGGAAAUCAAACGAGGAUGAAUUUUCCCAGAAAUCGAAUGGGGGAUGGAUUUUCAUGGGAAUCAAACGGGGUUGCAGAAAAAUGAAAAUAAAUAACAAGAUUAGAUUAGUACCUGGGAGGAUUGAGAGUGGCAGAGGAAAAUAGGGCCUUUUUAGGGAUUCUCUCGUCUGGAGGGCAACUUCAGAAAAGGGCUUCGGGCUUCUUGAUGCCCGAGUGAGAGAAGUGGGUGGCCUUUUUAUUUUUAGAUUUAGUAGAGAUUAAAAAAAAAAAAGGAAACAUAUCAUGAUAACAAUUUUCCUCUCUCUAUAUAAAUAAUUAUUAAUUAUUUAUGAUUAAAUCACUACUAUGGAUUAAAAUUAAUUUAAUAAGAUAAAUUAUUAAUAAUUUUAAUUAUUUAAAUAAAUUAAUGUUAAUAAAAAAAAGUUGUUACCACAUAUUUUUAAUAAAAUUUUAAAAAUUAGAUCUUAAAUAAAAUACUUUAUUGAUAUUUCAAUUUGGACCCCAGUGUAUCGGAUGGUCCAAAUUGAAACUGGAUGUGAUCCAAUAGUCAAAAUUGAACCUCAAGCUAUGUGAUAAUAUGUAUAAAUUAUUGAUAUUUACUAAAAUAAGUUUUUCAUGAAACUUCAUAAUGAGUGUAUAAGUACAACUAAUAUAAUAUAAUUAUGCUUAAUAUCACAAAUCAUAUUAUAUAUAUAUAUCAAAUUCUUCACCAAAACAACUUUAAAUUAUUUAUUAUACUUUUAAUUACAUUAACACGAGGUUUUUUUACAUUUCCAUAAGUUUUGAUCAAUUUUUUACUUAUCAAAAUUUUUUUUCAAAAUAUCCGUCGCUAUUUCUUCGAUAUAUCCGUAAAAUCAAGUUACCGAUAUAUCCGUGAUUACCGAUAUUUUCAUCAUUGGACCAAACUACCACUAGAUCCAAUGUGAGUAGGAUCACUUAGCCAUGCUUCAUGAUUGAAAAAACGAGCACCGUGAAAAUACAUGUCACUUAACCAAAGAAUGAUGAUGGAAAGUUGCCCGAAAUGGACACUAGAUACUUUUAAAUUCAAUCCAGUCUUAUUUUAACAUCAAGAUUUUCAAUCCAUAUUCAAUUUCAUCAGGUAGGCUUCACAAAUUUAAUAAAUAAUUUAAGUUUUAAAAUUUAUCUAAUUUAUAUUCAUUAAUAUGUUAAUUUUAUAAUUAAUUAAUAUAACUCUAAAUCACUUGAACUGAUAUUAUAUUAAAUUUAUAUCCUUCAAUUUGCAGGACCAAAACCUUCAUCUCAAUGACUUUAUAUCCUCUUCCUCUUCAUGUGAUUCUUGCGGUUCAAGUCCUCCAAAUUUUGAAUUUUCAACGUUGUAAUGAAUUUAUUUGGAAUAUAGCAGGAAAAGAAGGGAUCAAACAAGAAGAAAGUGAUGGAAAAACCUCAAAGGCCUCCACAUGCUAUUCUCAAUUUGUGCUUCACUUAGAUCACAUCGCCACUUAUUCAUUGUUUUGACAAACUGCCCUUGCAAAAUGCUGGCGGUGGGAAGCAGAUUUAAUACUUCACAUAAUUGAUAUUGAAAAUGCUUACAUGGUUUGAAUUUUUACAGGAAUAUAAGGGGAACUCUUUCAGAAAGUGGAAUGUCUUGCCUGUUACUUAACACCAACACAAGCACUCGUUCAAUCUCUGGCUUUGGCAUGCACCAUAUCUUCUUCUUUGUACUUCAGUAAUUUUCUAUUUUUUUGGUGGGGUAUCUGCUAACUUCCAAUUGUACUCAAAUAAAAAGCUGAGAUCUCUAUUGCCAUUCACUUCAUCAAGAGGCACAGCAUCACAAAUUUCUUUCAGAUCAUCCUCAGUAAGCUUCACUCCCAAGGAUCCAAUGUUAUUGUCAAGGUUCUUAACUUUGGUUGUCCCUGCAAGCACAACAUCAAAAUGCCACAUUAUAGUAUGUUGUAAAAAUAGGACAUUGCCAUAACCACUCUCAACUGCAAAACAUAAUGAAGUAGAACUCAGCAUUUGAGUUUGUGGCCGGGCAAUGGAAAGAAGAGAAGUCAUUUUGAAAAGAAAUAAAAGCUACUGGGUAAACAAACAGACAAGAAAAUUGAAGGGAAGGAAGAGCGUAAUUUACCAGGGAUCGGAACCACGUCAUCUCCCUGAUGGAAAAGCCAUGCCAGAGCAAGUUGAGGAAGAGUGCAGCCAUGUUUUGCAGCCAGUUUCUCAAGGCGGGCAUAUAUAAGUUUGUUCUUCUCUAAAUUCUCUCCAGUGAACCUUGGAUGCAUAGUCUGUGGCAGGAAUGUCAGUAUGAAUUUAAAUAACUGAUUCCAAUGCUAAAAAAAUGAUCGAUGUUCUUUGCCCAUCAAAAGAAGUAAAAAAAACUCAGACGGAGAAGAACCUAUAUUCAAAUUACUAAAUUUUUAUCUAUAGUUACUGACCAGGAUACUCUGAGUGGGCAAGCUCUCCACAACUGCCUUCCCACCAAAGAAUCCACGACCAAGAGGGCUAUAUGCUACUAUUCCAAUACCAAGCUCUCUGUGAGUAACAGAUAAGAAGAGAUUCAGAGUUCAUGAUUUAAAUUCUGUAAUAUUCUCAAUCCCUCAGCUUUUUCAGGCUGUUCUUCACCCUGUAUAAAAAACUUAAAGGUUUGGUUUAGUAAUGCAAACAUUAAAGCUAGAUAACCAACCGGCAGAGUGGAAUUAUAUCUUCUUCAAUUUCACGGGCCCAGAAAGAAUACUCCAUUUGUAAGGCAGUGAUGGGAUGAACUGCAUGGGCUCUCCUUAUUGUGUCUACACUAGCUUCAGAUAAACCGAUGUAUUUUAUCUUUCCCUCCUCCACCAACUUCUUAAGCUCCUCCAUCUAAAUCAAACAAAAUUAAUCAUCCAUCAAAUUUUGAUGCAGUUUCAUACAUUAGAAACUAGAUGAAACCGAAAAUACGAAGAAAAAGAAUAUUUGAUACUCACUGUAUCCUCUAUUGGGACUGACAUGUCCACACGAUGCUGAUAGUAAAGGUCAAUGUAGUCCACACCAAGCCUCUUUAGACUGGCUUCACAGCAGUCCCGAACAUAUUCAGGGGUACCCUUUAUCACAACCUUACCGACCUCUAACACCUGAAGGCCAAAUUUUGUAGCUAAUUGAAUUUCUUCCCGAGGGAGCUCCUUCAGAGCCUGAAAAUAUAAGGAAAAAGACUACCCAUCAACUUAAGAACAUGAUUCAAUCCCAUGGAUGAUUCGGCAACAGAUUCAUACUUCAAUAUAAAAUUUUGGUUUGCCUGUGUGUGACUUUCUUUUCUUUCUUUCCUCCCAUGAAACUUCCCAUUGAAAAAAAGUGAAGCACCAUGUGAAGGGAGAAAUUGGCCUUUCUAAAUGGUUCUUUUAUAUUCCUGAUUUACUCAGAUUUGAGCUUGAAAGUAAAAAACAGUACCUUUCCAACCAUGAUCUCAUUGUCAUGAUUUGCUCCAUAAAUAUCUGAUGUAUCAAAGAGGGUGACACCCUUAUAAAAAGCUUCCUUUAUAACUGAACAUCCAGCUUCAUGGGAGAGGGGUGAAUUAUAGAUCCCAGAAAGUCCUGCACAUCCAAAGCCCAAUCUAGAAACCUACAGAAGAAAAAAAGAGCAAAUUAUUAGAAUGAAAAUGAAUCUUUUCAUUUUUUCACAAAAAUUGCAAACAGAUAUUUGAUGAAAGCAGCAAACCCAGAUAUGAUUCAUUAAUCCAUAGAUCUGAACUGAUAGAGGAGGAUAUACAACAAUAAUCAAGCCAUACCCACAAUCAUGUUAGCUGAACAAAAUUAAAGAAGUCCCAAAAUAAAAAAAUAAAAAAAUGGGCAUGGUACAAAUGGGUGUGAGAAGAACAAACUCACCUCCAAUCCCUGACUGCCCAAUUUGACUCUUGGGAUUUUGAUCUGAGGCAUGUCCUCCAUUUUGGAUUCUCAGGAAGCCAAAGAAACAAGAUGCUGCAAAAAACAGGGAAAUGCUGUAGGUGCCCACCCACCUGCAACAUCUCAAGUUAAAAGGGGUACAAGUGCCGACCCGCAAAGGCAAUUGCUGGUGGCAGAAAGUUGAAACGAAUAUUCUGACGGCGACUAUUGUCACUUUCUUCCUGGAUGUAUAUGUGUUGGUGUAGACCCUCAUUUUGGGGUGUGUUUUGUGCAGAUCAUUUUGCCAGGUGGAAGGCUCUUGGAAGACCACAUGUCCACUCAUGGUUGGCUGUUGGGGAAUCAUGUUAGUGGAUUGAAGGGAAAAUGGGUGGAGGACACGUGUCAUGGGAAUAUUCAGAAACAGUUUUUUGGGUGGUGGGGGAGCAUAUUCGGUUAGACAGAGAUGAGAUAUUUUGUUGUUGGUUAGAGGAUGAGGGCAGGGAGGAAGCUUGAGGAGCAAGAAAGUUUUUGUUACAGAGAGGAGAGUUUUUGGGGUAUCUUGAGGGGCAAGGUUGUUGGAGAGAGAUAACCAGAGAAAGGGAGAGUUGCAGAGAGUUGGAAGGGGGGAGAAGGAGUGACAAUGGAGAGAGCUGAGUCCUUUGAGUGAGAACUGCUAGUUUCCAGAGCUAAGAGGGACAUUCAUCUAUGGUGGCCGUUUUUGGAAGGUUGCAAAGAAGAGGAAAAACCAGAGGGCAGCUCGCGGAUUUUCCGGGGAGCUUUUGGAGCAAGAACAGUUAGAAAUCCAUCACAUUUUGCUGGAGAGAAGCAUUUUCAGGUAUGUUUAUAUUGGAUUCCCCAUUCGUUUCAACUGGUAUGCUUUUCUUCUCUUUUUUUGUUGAUCCUUGGAUGAUGUUUGUUGAUUGGGAGUAAGCAUGUUCAUAUCUUCUUUUUUUUAAUGGUUUUAGCUGAAGAUUAGUUUGCCCCUGUUUCAGUUUCCCUAUGAGAUAUUUGUAACCAUGUUUUGAUUUUUAUUUGAUACUCGUUUGAUUUCACCCACUCUCGUCUAAGCCUGUUGAUUAAAAUAUGAAGCAUGGCUUGUACGGGUUCAUUUUUGUUCCUACCCUUUGUGCUCUGUCUUGUUAUCUUCCUUUGUUCUUGGUGUUCAUCCAUGGUGUGCAUUGGAUUUCUCACAUUUGCCUGAGGGAGCAAGGAGCUGCAGAUGACGUAUUCUCAGUACGCGGGUAGGAGAGGUUACAGCAUGCUGGUUCAGUUGUGGGGAAUGCUGAAAAUGGCUCAUGGAUGUUAAGGCUGCAUCGAUGUCAAUGCUGAAUCCAUGGUGGAGAUGAAAGCUACAGGAUCCAAGGGGAAACCUAUCAGCAUAAUGUAUUCUAUCAAGCAAGCUAUUCUUCUCUUCGUCUAUGCCAGAUUUGCCGUCAACUCUGAUCAUUGCUUCGUCUUUGCUACUCUGGGCAAAACCACUUCCUGGCUUCAGAGAGAGUUUAGCAAUGAAUUUGAUUCUGCAAUUGCUACACUUCGGGGCCUGUCAAUUGAUGGCUCUGGUGGUAAUGCAGAUCUGACCCAGUUAUUCAGGGUAGCAGCUCGUGAAGCAAAGGAAUCUCGUGCAUGAAAUCAGAUUUUCAGGUUAAUAUUAAUCUACUACAGAUUUUUUGCUCAUCCUUAGCAUCAGUGGCCUGCUAACCCGAAACUCUUCACUUUGGACGUGGUUUAUCUCCAUGACAAGCCUAGUCCUGAGAAUUGCCCACAAAAGGUCUAUGAUGCGCUUAUGGACGCCCUUGAACAUGUUAGUGAGCAUGAGGGCCCCACCUAUGAGAGCAGGCAGGAGCUAACACGUGUCCUUUUCCAUUAUAUGUGUGUUCUGUUAUCACAUCCUCAGCAACGUUGUCAAUCAGACGGCGUUAACAUACCUAAGCCCCUCACAAAAGAAGCUGCCAUUUUCAUCACCCAGGUCGUCAUUAUGCAUCACCCAGGUUAGCCCCUCACAAACGAGUACUAUCUUGUUCUUGGCUGCAACUCCAUCCACCCACAACCUCAAUCCAUAAUACCCACAUUUCCAUUUUUCAAAUACCCAUUAGACCCGUUUCUCUCACCACCCUCCAUCAUUCAUUUCAUCAAUGAUAUCCACACCCUUCAUAUCACCACAUUCCCACCUUCAACCUCAUCCAUACUCACCUUCAUUAGCCUAACCCAUUCUUCAUACUCCAACACACUCAUCCUCGUUCAAAUCCUCAAUCUUCCAAUACCCACCAAACCCAUUUCUCUCACCACCUCUUCCACUCAUUCCAUCAUUCGCUCCCCAUAAACUUCUUUCUCAUUCUCUUCUCUGUGCAUAUGACCCACGUGCAUGACCAUUUCGACGCAUGCAUGGCCUCUUUGGAUACCUCAUUUUCCAAGCCUACAAAUGCAUGAGAAUUUUCGUCAAUGGAGAGAAAUGUUUGUAUGUUAAGAAUGUGUCGAAAACUGUUAUUUGUGUGGAAUGGAGGUUCUAUCUUGCAAAUAACUUCAGGGUCACCCUCGACAGUCUUACUUUUAUGAUCUAUCAAGGCUUGAAUGUGGUAUUCUUCAACUAAGGACUGGAAAUUGUCAUGUCCGACAUGCGUUGUCUGGAAGGUGAUUGAUUCUGGGCAACGAUUGCUCUCAUUUCUCACCUUACUAUCCAGAACCUCCUGCUGGUUGCUUCUUAAGAACGUGAUUGUAGGGUAUGUGCAGAAUGAGAAGUACAGUGAUGCUAUUGGGGUGUUCCGGAGGAUGCCACAAAUCGGUGGUGUGGUGUCAAAUCACAUUACCCUUGUUAGUGUGUUGCCGGUUUGAGCGUAUCUUGGUUCACUUGAUCUGGGGCAGUGAAUUGAAAGAUUUGUCAAUCGAAGAGGGAUGGCCUUAGGUUCAUCAUUGGGGGAAUGCACUUGCAUGACGUGUAAACGAAGUCCGGAUGUAUAAUGGAGGUUAGAAGGGCAUUCGAUAUGAUGCAAGAGAUAAAUGAGAUCUCAUGGAGUAUGAUCAUAUGUGGGUUGGCCAUGUACGGACAUGCAGAUAAAACAUUUGGGAUGCUUUUAUGAAAUGCCCAACUGUGGAAUAAAUCCAAAUGAUGUUGUUUUCAUGGGAUUAUUGACAGAAUGCCAACUCGGGUAGUGAUGGGGAUAGCAGUUGUAGCUCCAGGAGACGUGCAACAAUGACAAGAUCAAAGCAAUUGGAGGAGCAUGGUGAAUUCAAGAAGCUGGAAAAGUCACCGAGUAUGGAUGACACUUGAAACCACCUAGAAGUUGUUGAAUAUGUUGCAGAAAUCUACCAGUACUGUUGGGUUACAAAGUUGCAGGCAUAGAAUCCAUCCAUGCAAAAUUAUAUGUCAAUUCAGUCAGACAUCAUACCUCAGAUACGGGGCAUAUUGAUCAAUUGGCUAAUUGAACACCAUUGCAGUCAUCGAGUACAGGCUAGAAGCAACCUUGCUUCAGGUGUAAGUGGCAAAAAUGAGAUCCAAAACAACACUUCUCAAAUGGGCAUCAGAGCCUUCAAUGGUGGGCUUUUAAAGGCAGCUGGGUGGGUUUUGGAUGUAGAAUGUGAUGUUUUGAAAAAAUUGGUGGAAAAGUAUCCAAAUUACACUUUCUUUUACUGGUCAUCCUCUUGGAUCAGGGGUGAUUGCACUAUUGACAAUGGUGGUGGUGCAUAGUGGGGAUAAAUUGGCAAAUUUUGACUGGAAGAGGAUCAGGUGCUAUGCAACUGUACCUACAAAGUGCAUGUCGUUAAAUUUGGCAGUGAGUUAUGCAGAUCUCAUCAAUUCUGUUGUGUUUCAGGACGACUUUCUUCCCUUGGCCACCCCUGCACGCUUCCAGUUGCAUGCCCACCUUUGGCAUGCAACCUUUGGCCACGUGACUUUUCUUUCAUUUCUUCAUUUUUUAUUUUAAAAAAACAAUUUCUCAGACUUCAUUUUGCAAAAUAAUUGCCCCAAUUCUAGUUUUUCAAAUAAUUUUAAUUCUUCAAAUUUUCAUCCUUAGAAUUUUUUUAAGCUUACCAAAAAUCCCAUUUUCCAAUAAAAUGUGCUACAAUUUUCUUCGGCAAGCAAUUUUCACAUUUUUUUAUUUUUAAAAUGUUUUAAAAUAAGCAUGAAUUUAAUUUUGUAAUUCCAAGUGAUGAAAUUUACGGAAUUAAUUCAUGCAAAAAUAAAUUGGAUUUUGGUGGGGGCCAACAUCAAAGAAGUUUUAUUUAACAAUAAAUUUGAGUGAAGUGCAGUGUGAUAGUUGAUGACUUCUUACUCUAUUUAGUGGCAUGUGUGACAUACUUUGUCUUCAUUAUUACGCACUGACCUCAUUUCAUGAAAGCGCAUUAGUGUUUGCUACUAAGGUACGCAUACACUUUCACUUUGACCAUUCUCUAUGUAUUGUUGUGACUCUCAUGUGUGUAAUAUCAUUUUGGUAUCUCUUGAUCUACUAAUCAAUUGUCAUGUUCGCUUCAUCUCAUUAGUAGAACCCCGUUUUUAGGGACGUAGAGGAGUGCUACGAUCUUUACCGUACCUUCCCAAUAAGUAACCUAACCCUCAAGCCUAUAUUUAGUUUUUCACUAACCGUCAUUUUCCAAAUAAGGAGUCACACUUAUGGUUUUCUUUCUUAUUUUGUUUACUCUUAAAAAAUAAAACAAAAAUAAGUGGCGAUUCCAAGUCAUUUUCUAAAAAAUAAAUCAUUUUCAAAUAAAAAGCGAAUUCGUCAUCGAGUAGAAACACAUGAGCAAAAAUGUGAGGUCCACAGUUGGACAUGCCACUCAAAGCAUUUUGGGAAUCUAUAAUACAUGUUAUAAUACAAUCUCUAGUACAAGUUGUAAUUUUUUUAACAACAAUUUUUAAAAACAGUUUAUAAUGCUUUCAGAGACAAAAAUGCUUUUGAAAACUGAAUUCUAAGACACAAUUUUUUGUUCUAAAAAAAAGAGUUAAUAAAAGCUAUUUUAUAGGAAAAGUAAAAUAAGAAAAAAAGACUUAUUUAAGAACUAUGUUUUAAAAUUGAUUGUUUUCUUUCAUUAACUUGAUGUUAUAAAUAUAAAUAAUUUUUAGAUUUAUACUUCAAUGAGUUAAAAGAAAAAUGUAUCCAUUUUUAAAAUUACUUGCAUAAAUUUUCAUUUUUGUAUACAAUUUUUAUAAUAUAUUUACACUUUAAUGAUUUAAUCAUUAGUUAGCCUAAAAUGCAAAUUACCUCAUCUUAGAAAAAAAAAUUGUAUCCAUUUUUUAAAUCACUUGUACAAUUUUUCUUUUUAUAUGCAAUUUUUUUUUAUAUAUUUUCGGUUGAUCAUUGGUUAGCCUAAAAUGUAAACCAACUCAACUCAACUCAUAAAUUUCCUCAACUCCACAACACUGCAUUCAAUGAGAAAAUCAUUCUUUUAUUACUUCAUUUAUUCAAACCAACUUGAAAAUGAAUCUCACUUAUGGAUAACACCAAGAGGGGGGUGAAUAUGUGUUUUUAAAAACAAUUGGAUAUGGUCUCUCACAAAUGCUCAUAAUUCCCUUGUUUUUCCCUUAUAAAAUGAUUUUUUUUUUCAACCUUAUGAAUAAACAAGUAAAUCGCAAGCAACAAUGAAUGCACCAACACUCUCCUAAACAAGUUAUUCAAUGCAAGUCACAUGCAAAUGAGACAACACUCCCCAAACUCGAUAUAUAAAACAUUGCAUCAAUAUAAAAACUCUUUUUCACAUACCCUUUGUCAUCAAUCAGCAACAACUAACAUAUAUCUUAUUCUUUCAAAGAUUCAAUAGACACAUUUCAGCUCAUACUCCAAUUAAUUCAAUCAUUAUAACACAAUGAAAAAUACCAUAAGCUCAUGAAAUGCUAAUCAAAAGAUAAAAUAGAAAGAAGAGACAAUGACACCAAUUUUUUUAACGUGAAAAACCUUUAAAGAAAUAAAAAAAAAAAACCACGGAUAUCAAGCAAUCAAAUAAUCUACUAUGAAGAAGAAUUAGAUGAGUACAAGGUUUUACCUAACUUAAGUCUUUCAUCAUCUCUUGGACCACUUGCCUAUAAUAUUCAAGCUUCAGCUACCAUCAUUCUUCUUUAGGAAAACACUUGGAAUCCACUCAGUUUUGAUCUCAACAUCUUCUUAAGUCCACAUAAGAAGAAUCUCGGGUUUUACCCCCAAUAAGUUGAAUAUGAGAGUUAGGAUGAAGAACACAGUGAAUCAACCAAUUUGGAAUAAAGAUUUUUCACUCAAAAACUAAUUUUCAAUUCAAUCUCAUAAAUUUUCUCACUAGGCAAACACUCCCCAAUAUAGUAAGAAAAACUUGAAGCUCAAAAACCUAGGGUUUUCUCUCUCAUAGCAGCCCACACCACAUCUAGAAAGAGGGCUUAGUAUUAGGGUUUUGAAACUCAUCCAAUGGUUGAGAUUUAUUUGAAAAAUCAUAAACUAUUAACAUUUAGUUCAAUUGAUCAAAAAUCGAUCCAAAUGUUUUAAACAUAAUGUUUUACACUUUUAAUUAAGUUUCAAUUUCAUUUUCUAAUAAAAUGAUACAAAUUUAAAAUAUGAUUAGUCAUUGUUUAUUAUCAUCCAUCAUCUCAAAUGUACUUACCAAUUCCUCCAGUCAUCUUCAAACACAAAACAAUUUGGAAAAGGUAUGUGGUCAAAAGAGGAUUUGAAGAAUAUGAACUACAAGACACAAUAAGAAUUUUGACCCGAAAUUGUCAAUACAUACAACAUGCUUACACAACUCGGUGUAGAAAAUUUUGAUGGAGUGUUUGCAAUGAUCUUAAAUAAUGUCUUCAAAUAUACACAAAAGGUAUAUGAAAGAAGUUUUCUUCAAACAAAUCUCUACACAUCAUCGACCUUAUCAUCCAAAACACCCAAUACAAAGUUCAAGGUACCCAUUUCUUCACCCUUUUUAGUUAUUCUCAUUAGGUCUUGUUCCCCUUCCUAUCUCCAAUUGACAUUGUAAUUGCAUUUUGUUUUCUUAUGAAUUUUUUUCUUCUUCUAUCUAAAUUGUCUAUCAUACACUAAGGGGGCUACAAAUUGCAAGCAAAAGGCUCCAAAUUUGCUUUUUCUCUAUUGUCAAAUCUAGCAAAUUGAUUUGAUUUUAAAAGGUCCCUGCCCAACAUAUUUUCAAAUCUAGCAAUAUCAAACUGAGAAGGAAAAGCAUGAAAACACAAAGAACACCCUUUUAAAAACAUAGAGAACAACCCAUUUUUUUCCCUAGUGAAAACAUGAAAAAUACAAAGAACUGGAACAACAUUCCUUGUCAAACAUAUUUUUAGUGUUCUUUUUUCUAGAAAACAAAAACCAAUUCACAAAAACGCUUCUCAAGUGGGCCAUGAUCUCUUUUUAAUUAAAAAAGAAAAGAAACUUACAAGAAUUUGCAAAAUAAUAAUAAUAAUAAUAAAGAAAUAAUCCUAAACGCCCCAUUUCGCUUCCUUAUGUUUCUCAAGAUCAAUCCUUGCUAUUUCACUUCUUUCAUCUUGUGAGUUGGUUCAAUUUGUAAAAAUGGACCAAUAAGAUUUUUUGUCGAAGAGUAACAAAUCUAAGAACUACAAAAUGAAAAACGGAAAGCAGAGCAUCAAAACACACCAUAGGAGAGCAAAUCAAAGCAUUGAUUUCUUGUUUGAGGUCUUAAAAUGUUUUGAAAUUUUUAUAAAUUUCCAUGUUUUUGAAUUGAUAAUGUGUAUAAUACUUAAUAAUAAUAUUUUGCAUUAUAGUGAACCAUGAAUAUGAAGAAAAAUUUCCUUUGAUUGUUUGUGUUAGUGUUUUACCAAGGUUAAAUUUCCAUUUGAGUUAUUGAAUGGAUGUUUGAUAAAACAAUUUAAUAACUUAAAGUGAUUUAAUAACUUAAUUUAAAUUAUUAAAUAAAUUAAGUGUAUUUGGUAAAAUUAUUUAAUGGUAUGACUUAAAAUAAAAAAUAAUUUUAAGUAAUAAGUAAAAAAAAUAAACUUAUUUUUAAGUUCAUCUUCAUUUUACAUUUUUACUCUUUCACCUUUUUUUUGUGUUAGGUAACUUCACAACCUCUUUUACUACUCUAUGACUUCUAUUAUUAUUCGAUAUUUUUUACUCUAAUUAUAAUUUAUGAGAAUAAAUAUAUCAAUUUAAUAAUUUAAAAUAAAUUUUAAAUUAAUUUUAUUGAACACUCUUAAUAUUAAAGUAAGAAUUAAGUAAUAAGUUUUAAGAAUUAAUUUAAAUAUAAUUAAACUUAAAAUCAACUUAAGUUAUUAAGUGAUAAGUAUUAAGUUUUAUCAUAUACCCACUAAAAGUUUUUAGAUUUAGGAAUUUAAACGUUGUUAAGUUACCAUUUUUAUUUUUAUUUUUUUUAUAUUGUACUUGUGAUAUGUGUAUAUAGUUAUGACAAUAAAGGCAAGGUGGUCAACUCAAAUCAUGAUAUGAUUAAUCAUGUAUAAUGGGAGUUUUAAAAUAAAAAUAUUGAAACUAAUACCAUAUCUUAUACUGAUUUUAGAAAGUGAUUUUAGUUUUUCUAACACAAAAACUUUUAUCUUUCAAGUACUAUAAAUACUAUAAACAUUUCUUAAAAUUAUUAUCAAAUACACUCUAAAAUAGUAUUUGAUAAACUUAAUAUUUAUUAUUUAAUAACUUAAGUUGACUUUAAGUCAAAUUAUACUUAAAUUGUUAACUUAAAACUUGUUAUUUAAUUAUCAAUUUAAGUAUUAAGGUUAUUUGAUAAACUAACUUAAAACUUAUUUUAAAUUAUCAAAUUGAUUUAUCCUCAUAAAUUAUAACUAUGGUAAAAAAGGUCGACAGUAAAAAUCGUCAAGUAGCAAAGGAGAUUAUGAAAGUUUUUAUGGCAAAUGGGGGUAGAAAGAUAAAAUGAAGAUAUGAAUAUCAUCAUCUAUACACAUGCAUUUGUGAUACUAUAUAAUUUUCUGCAUGAUCACUAAUUUUAUUUCUUAUAAUUUCAAGUAUGACAAUUAAGAAUAGAGGAUUUGUUGUAUUUUUCAUCAAAUUUGCAUGUUAUAAUAUAAGAUUAUUUAAUUCAAAAGAUGAAAUAAUCUUAAAUUUGUAAAAAUAAUCUCUCUCCUAUUUAAACUCGAAAAAUAAACUUUUUUAUGUAUAAAUUUCCUUCAACAUUUGAAUUAUAUUAAAUAAGUUUUGAAAGAGUGGGUUAUUUUCAUAAAAAUAUAUGAGGGGUAUUUUUGUUAAAAAAAAAAAGAAGAUAUUUUUCUUAGAGUAAAAUAUGUGGAAGGGUUAGAUUUGUAAAUUUUAAAAAAUUUCAUCAAAUUUCCAUAGGCCAUAGCAUAACAAGCUCAUUUAAUAUCUCAACUUUUAUUAUUGUUUUCAUAUAGUAGAACUAAACAUAGUUGGACUAUUUUUUUUUUUUUUUUGUAUACUAUUACACAAUUCAUAUGGAUUUGUAGUAAUUUUGUUACUACUUUUAAUUACCUUGUAGUAUGUGAUGCCACCUCCAUCAUUGUCUUUUAUCUUGCUAAAAUACUUUGGAGGAGUUGACAAAAUUUUAUAUUUCUGACACUUGGAAGACAUUGAGAAUAUUAAGAAUAAAUUGAUCAAGCUAUAAUUUGAGGUUUUUAAGACCUCACCUCAUAUUUUGAUUCCUUCUUGGUCAUGCAUAAACUUCAUUUUUCAACCCAAAUUGUCCAUUAGAGAGUUUUGAUCCCAUUCCAUGACAUGACAAAAAAUAAUAAUGAAUAAGGAUACAUUCCUUAAUAUUAAGAAUAAGGUGUGUGAAAAAUUGUUGUCUAGUAUAGUAACACCUAGAGAAGAGUGAACAGUGUAUUUUUAAAUAUUAUAAAUUAGAAGUUGAAUUAUUGACCCAAUUUAAACUUGUGAGAUAUAAGAGAUAAUUAAUAUAAUCAAAAUAACUAGAGAUCGAGUAAGAGACAUAGGAAUUUUAACAUGGAAAACCCCACACUAACCGUGAAAAUAAAAAACCACGGAAUCUAAGAUCUAAAAUCUAAAUCCAUUAUAUAAGAUCAAGUCACACAUAAUUAUCUAAUUAUUUUACUUUAAAGACUUACUCUUUAAAACCUAUAGCUUGAUUAACAUCCGCGACGCAACAAUCUUUAAUUACUCCAAUGAAUACUUCUCAACCUAGUUGAAGGGAUGCAUGUUUUUCAACAAUUCAAAAUUCAAACUUUAAAUCAUUUCACGAGAGUCUGAGAAUGGUAGGACAAAUUAGGCUAAACCUUUCUAUAAGUGUCCCCACCCUAAAAGGGUUAAAGAAGGGUUUGGCCUUUAGGCCUUAGGAGAUCGAUAUCCCAAAAUUUUCAAAUAAAGAUUUAUUGAAUUCCCAAAAGAUAUUCUAGCAAAUUUGGGAUGAUCGCUUAGGUGUACUUGUCCACCGCUUGAGUGCCUCAAGUGCUUGAGCACUAGAUAUGCACUUGAGCAUUUCCAAUGCUAAAGCACUACUUCCACCACUUGAGCAUUCUUUGUUUUUCCAAAAUAAUAAAUUAAGUAUUUUAAUUCAUAUAAAAGAUGUUGAUCCACUUUUAACCCCUUAAACACCUAACUUGUCAUUAAUAAAACCUUUUUAGGUAUAUUUGUAAUUAUCUAGUUGAACGAACAACAACUUUGAAUCUUUAAUGAAAAGUAAGUUACUAUCUAAAAAAUUUCAAAAGAAUUAGAACAAAAUUGUCAACAUGUAAUGAAGACCCAUUGUUUUAACAAUGUGUAAUGAUGUGUUGAAAAAAGUUUUCAUUUCUUUGGGUGAACAAGAAAAAAAAUUACAAGAAAAAUGAAUGAGCCUAGAGAUGAAAACAUGUUAACCCUAUUAUACUUUCUAGAACAUAUUUUACUUGGGAAAGAAGAAAAUUUUUUAAUAGAUAUUCAAUGAGCUGAUUUUGUUGAGAAUUUUUUAAGACCUUAACAAAUAUCCAUGGGGGAGCUUUGUUACAAGAUGACAAUUUUUAGAUUGCAAAAGACUAGAAAAUUCAAGUAUCAAAAUACCAAAAUAAUAAAGUACUAAAGGGAAAAGUCACAUCCAAAAAAAGACCACAUGAUUAAAAAUUUAAUCAGUUAUGGAAUUACUGUAAAUUAAAAAAAAAUUAUGAAGAUGUAAUCGUAUUUAAAAAAUUAUAAAUUUAAUCAUUAAUUUUAAAAAUAAUUUUAAUUUUAUUUAAAUUAUGUAUUUUUUUAGUAAUAAUUUUUUAAAAAAUGUAUUUUUGAAAUGGAAGUUUUCAAGGAAAAAUAAUACCAAAGGCCGCGUUAUGAAUGGAAGCACAUGACUAAAAUAAUUAAAUAAAUAAGCGACUAAAAAAAUCGUAGGUUUUCUAUAGGCUAUAUUCAUUCUUCUUCUCCUUGAUCCACCGAUCGAUUUUCAACCCAAAACCCUAAUUCAAGAUGGAGAGGAGGCACACGCACAGAUGUGCAACCGGCUUUAUUUUUAUAGCUCUCUUUUUCAGCUUUAUCCACCGUAUCUCAGCUCUCUCCGUCACCGUCAACGAAGUAGAAUGUGUUUAUGAGUACGUUAUCUACGAAGGUGACACCGUUUCUGGGAACUUUGUUGUCGUCGAUCACGACAUUUUCUGGGGCUCUGAUCACCCUGGCAUCGAUUUCACUGUAUGUCCCUGCCUAAUUCUCAUUUAAUUCAUCUAGUUCUUGGAUUUUUGUUUUUCUUUUCGGGGUUUUAAUCGUAGUGGUUAAUUGAUUUGGGGUUGCUAUGGGAUUUGAAGAGGUUUUUGGUUUUUUUUUUUUCCUGGAGUAUUUAGGGUUUUUGUUUGGUUGGAGAGAAAACUGAGGAAGAGAAAAAGGAAACGAAUUUUGGAUCUGAGAUUUUAUGCAGUUUGGCUUCUCAAAAAAAGGGAAAAAAUUCAAGUGCCCACAAACAUCAAAUAGAGAUGUGUUAGAUUUUGCUUGAUAAGACCUAGAUUUUUGGUUUCUCUUUCGGGUGUCCUCAAAGUUUCUCCACAAUCAAACAGUCGUUUUUCCCCUUUCCUUUAAUUUUAUUUUAAAAUAGAUUUUUUUUUUUGUUUCCUAUAAAAAUAAAUAUGUAUAGAGGUGUUAGGGUGCACCAACAACAGAAAAUAGAUGUGUUAGAGGUGCCUUAUGAUACGGAUGAUUGAGGGCUAGUUUGAGUUCUGGUCUUUCGGGUCUGAAACAGUGGAAAAUUGUAGACCCUGAUUUUUCUUUGUUUAAAUCUCCUCAGUUUUUCUCAGGUCUGAAUUUUUGAUAUGUUGUCACAUCAUUUCAUAUCAAUUAGAAAUUUAGAAUAAGAUUCCGAAGCCUUUUGGUGUAUCUGUUCUGGGUAAAAGAGACAUAAAUAGGUCAAUUAUAGAUUAACCUGGAAGAUUCUCUUGCAAUUCAGAAAAUUAAUAUCAAUAUACCAACUAGGCGUUAUGGUUCAAUGGUAAAAUGAUCAUAUAUCAAAUUCUGGACCAAGCCUUUUAUAUCAUGACCAGAAAAAGGUUCAAUACCGAGAUGAAAUAGUAUCAUAACUUUGUAUUAGAUCUGUUGAUCUCAAGCUUCAAUUGCGUCUUAUUCGAGAAUUAGUAUCCAAUUGUCCAACCUCAUCCUUGGGGUGAAAAGAUUGGUACCUGGGGAACUCCUUAAUUGAAGAAAAAUAAUAUCCAACUUGACAUUAGUAGGGCUGUUGAGAAAUUUCAAACCAGCAGGUUGAUUAGAGGUAGAGGUACCAGAAGCUUGUUGAGAAGACUGCAGUUAGUCCUUAAGGAAAACAAUAAACAAGUGAUCAUUCCUAGAUAAAAUUCAGAAACAAUCAAAUUCAACCCCAAAUAUUGUAGUGUUAGUUUAGCUCAAUCCUUUGUUUUCUGAAACAAGAAGCUGAUGCUUCCUUGUAGACUUAUCCAGUUGAAUUGUAAGCUGGACUGGUCCUGAUUGUAAGGUUGUUUGAAAAAUCUCUUCCUGUCUCAGAAAAGUGAACACAGGAAUUAUAUCCUCGGUCAUCCUUGCAAUAUUUAAUGUCUUUGAUUCAAGCUGGAUUAAUCAUCUUCUCGUUUGGUUGGAUUAAUCAUCUGCUCAUGUGGCCUAAAUGGAUGGCUUUGAUGAUGAUGAUGGCAGCUGCAAUUGUGAACAUUAAGGAGUAAAUAGUUUUGAUGUAGGACAACCUAGGAUGAUAGGAACAUUUUUUUUUGAUAAGUAGGAUAUAAGAAGAGGAACAUUGAACUAAAGUUAUUGUUGCAGGGGAAAAAAAUAAGAUAUAGAACAAGAAAAAAAUAAAGAAAAGAUAGGAAACUUUAGAGUCUUCCCAAUUCCUUCUAAGAGUUAGAAAUAAAGUCUUACUCUUGAAAAUUGGAAGGCACGAAAAAACUUAAUACUAUCCAUCGUCAAUAAUUAGUCUCAUUUUACAUCAGUUACCAUGAAAAAAGAAACCCAAUCUAUGUAGUCAUUUAGUAGGACUCUUAUUCCUUUCUUAAAACUAUUAAAUCUUCUAAAAAGAUUAAAAGAGCAUAGAAGCUUUUAUAUAUAUAUAUAUAUAUAUAUAUAUAUAUAUAUAUAUAUAUAUAUAUAUAUAUAUAUAAUUAGAAACCUAAUUUUAUAAAGACUUCUUUUAAUAAAAGUUUAUAAUAAAGAAGAGUUGCAGAUACUAAAAGGACUUACAUAGAAACUUUAGAGAAGAAAGAUUUUAGAAAAUAGACAAUUUAGAAAUUUAAAAACUUCUUUUGAGGAGAAAUUUUCAAUUAAAAAAAAAAACUUUCCAAAUUCUAAAUGCAACUCAAAUGCUGAUUACUAUCUAAUUAGUACAUUAGAGAACCUUUAAAAAACUACAAAAUUACCUACAUACCAUUGAUAGAGCUUGAAAAACUUGACCUCGAGUUUAAAUGACUUUUCAUGGUUAAUUGUAAUCCAAAGCAGUGUUUUCCACCUUUUUUUUCCUUUGUUACCCCCUAUAAACUUGUUUUUUGAUUGGCUAAGUGCUAGUUGAGGGCUGGUAUUGUAUUUCCUCUUCUUUUUGUGCCCUUUGGCGCCUCCUGUAUACUCCCUGUAUACUUUUGGGUCAGCCUCAAGGUGCCCUUUUCUAAUAUAUGUUUUUUGUGUGUUUGCCUAUCAAAAAAAAAAACUUGUUUUCCACAUUUCAUCGAAUUUUUUUUAUAUAAUAUGAAGUCGAGAUUAAAUUUCUUUCCACACUUGUAAAUUAUUCAAAACAAUCUUCGGCUUUUAUAGGUCAAGCAUUAGCUUUACUUGAGCUUGUACAACUUCAAAACAAUUAUUACUUAGAGUAUGAUCUCUCUCUCUCUCUCUAUAUAUAUAUAUAUAUAUGUUUGAUAGGUAAAUUUUUGUUUCUAUUGGGACUCGAACCUGAAAUCUCCCACAAACUCUCCCCAACCCUUUAUCACUAGAGCCAAGCAUCAAGGGCUCUUGGAGUAUGAACUAUGAUUGCAUACUCAACAUUGACAGUUAAAAUCCGUGUCAUCACUCACAUAAAUAUGUUUGGUGCAUUAGUUAAUUGAGAGAUUAUGACCAGCCGCUCAUAUAGCCUAUCCUUAGGAUAUAUAGUAAGCAAAAAACCUCCAGGAAGGCUCAACCUUAAUCUUUCUUGAAUAAAGCCUUCAAUAGAUGAUUCAUCAACUUGUCUUUAAGGACUUGCUUGCUUCAUAGGACUUGCAUAGUAGAUGGAUAAAUUAGGUGAUUAAUUCUUUAGCACCUUAGGAAUUUGCUUGCUAGAAUCAACCAGCAUUCGUCGCACUUCUUUGAGCUCUCUUACAAGUUAUUUUGGGAUAGAUUCCACCACAUUUGGCAUUCUAGAUCCAUCAUACCUUACUCCUUGUUUGCAGCUUCAAAUUAUUUCUUAAUGGAGUAUUUGGUGGUUUUUUUGGUUCUUAGAAUGUUGAUUGCUCCAUUAGUUGCUAAGGUGGUGAAAUUUCCUUAAAUGAAUAGAGAAUCUUCUUAUGCUCAUUUUGACAUGUGUUCUCAUGACCAUCAUGUUGCACUCUCUCAUCAAAAGUCAUAGUCUUUCAAACAAAAUAUGAACAAAUUUCAUCGACAAAACAUCACAACAUAUCAAUAGCUCAAAAUUAUUGAUAAAAGUAGAUGACAACUAUUACAAUGAGAACUCAUUGUAAUAGAGUUGUCAUCUACUUGUGUUAUUUAAUAAGGAUUUGGAUGCUUCUUUGUCUUUAAGUUAAGCUUGUCAACAAGUUCUUAUGAAGCUAAGUUGGAAUUAAUAUUUACAAUAAUCAUUGCCCAAUUUUGUUGGACUGUGGAGGAGCGAGGAAGGGGCCUUCCCCCUUCAGGUUUGAGAAUAUGUGGCUGAAGGAAGAAGGUUUUAAAGAUUUGUUAAGGAAUUGGUGGAUGAGCUUCCAAUUCAGAGGUUCUUUCAGUUUCACUCUGUCUGAAAAACUGAAAGCGCUUAAGGCCUGCUUGAAGAUUUGGAACAGAGAAGUGUUUGGUAAUGUCACUACUAGAAAAGAUUCAACUUUAAAGCAGAUGAUGUCUUGGGAUUCAAUAGAAGGGGAUAGGGUGUUGUCUGCUGAAGAGCAAACUCUCAGAAAGCAGGCUUUGGAGGAGUAUAAGAAAUGGGUGAUAAUGGAAGAGACAUCCUGGAGGCAAAAGUCUAUAGAGUUAUGGCUGAGGGAGGGUGACAAAAAUACUGGUUAUUUUCAUAAAAUGGCCAAUGCACAUAAAAGGGUCAAUUCCCUAGUGAAGAUUAAGAUAAAUGGGUCGUGGGUAACAGAAGAACGUGACAUCAAGGAUGGUGUGGUUCAGGCUUUCCACUCUCUAUUGUCGGUAAUAGAUGAGUGGAGGCCCAGAUGCAAUGGGCUGCAGGUUGGGGUUUUGGAAGGGGAAGUUGCAGCAUUGUUAGAGGCUCCUUUUUCUGAGGAAGAGGUGUUCGGUGCUCUCUCGGUGGUUUCACAAUGGCGUUUUGGCAAUUCAGUUGGAGCUUUCUGAAGGAGGAAGUUAUGGGGUUCUUUAAGGACUUUCAUGAUCAGGGCAAGUUCGUCAAGAGCAUUAAUGCUUCUUUUAUGGUUUUAAUUCCUAAGAAAGGAGGAGCUGAAGACCUCAAGGACUUUAGGCCUAUAAGCUUGGUGGGAAGUCUUUAUAAGUUGUUAGCAAAGGUGUUAGCUAAUAGGCUUAAAAAGGUGAUGGGUAAGUUAGUGUCCAAGUCCCAAAAUGCAUUUGUGGAGGGAAGGCAAAUCCUGGAUGCUUCGUUGAUUGCGAAUGAGGCGAUUCAUUCAAUGCAGAAAAGUGGGGGAGGUGGCAUCCUUUGUAAGUUGGAUAUUGAGAAGGUAUACGACCAUGUGAAUUGGAGUUUUCUUCUUUGGUUGAUGGAAAUGAUGGGUUUUGGAGCCAAGUGGAUCAGCUGGAUUCAGUGGUGUAUUGGGACUAUUAGUUUCUCUGUCCUUAUUAAUGGAACUUCCUCAGGAUUCUUCCAAAGUUCUCAGGGAUUGAGACAGGGGGAUUCCCUAUCCCCCUACCUGUUCGUGAUUGUCAUGGAGGCCCUUAGUUGUUUGUUGAAGAGAGUGAAGGAGGGGGGUUUUUUGCUGGGGUGGCAGCUCAGUGGUAGAAGAGGUGUGGGAGUGGAGAUCACUCAUUUGCUGUUCGCGGAUGACACUUUAGUAUUUUGUGAGCCUUCCAUUGAUUAGGUGUCCUACAUGAGUUGGCUUCUUAUUUGGUUCGAAGCCAUGUCAGGGUUGAAGGUGAACUUGGACAAAAGUGAGAUCAUCGCGGUGGGAAAAGUGGAGAAUGUAGAGGACCUGCCCCUUGAGUUUGGUUGCAAGGUUAGCCAGCUCCCUUCUUCUUAUUUGGGUCUUCCUUUGGGUGCUUGUUUCAAGGAGGUGGCUACUUGGGAUGGAGUUGAGGAAAGGCUGAGGAAGAGGCUUUCACUUUGGAAAAGGCAGUAUAUCUCCAAGGGGGGUAGAAUGACCUUGAUCCGAAGCACUCUGUCCAGCAUGCCUAUCUACUGGAUGUCCUUGUUUCAUAUGCCAAGGAGCAUGAGUUUGAGAUUGGAGCGGAUUCAAAGGGACUUUCUUUGGGGUGGUGGGGCCCUGGAAAGGAAGCCCCAUUUAGUGGAAUGGUCUAUUGUUUGCUCAGAUAAACGAAAGGGUGGAUUGGAUGUGAGGAACUUGGCAUUGCUAAAUAAGGCACUCCUAUGUAAGUGGAGUUGGCGUUUUGCGGUGGAAAGGGAAGCUUUAUGGAGGCAAGUUAUAUGUGCAAAGUAUGGGGAAGAAGAGGGUGGUUGGAGGUCCCGUGUUGUGAGAGGUAGUUUUGGGGUUGAUUUGUGGAAAGCGAUUAGGAGAGGUUGGGAUGUGUUAGGUGACAAUUUGGUUUAUUCUGUGGGACAUGGUAGGAGGGUUAGAUUUUGGAAGGACAAGUGGUGUGGAGAUAAUCCUUUGUGUACUU
rnacentral:lncRNA from 1 species